rnacentral:rRNA from 1 species
UAACGUGUGGGCAACUUACCUUUUACUGUGGAAUAAUCGUUGGAAACGACGACUAAUACCGCAUACGGUUCUUGGAAGGCAUCUUCUAAGAAAGAAAGGAGUAAUUCGGUAAAAGAUGGGCCCGCAUCUGAUUAGCUAGUUGGUGAGAUAAUAGCCCACCAAGGCAACGAUCAGUAGCCGACCUGAGAGGGUGACCGGCCACAUUGGGACUGAGACACGGCCCAAACUCCUACGGGAGGCAGCAGUGGGGAAUAUUGCACAAUGGGCGAAAGCCUGAUGCAGCAACGCCGCGUGAAGGAAGACGGUUUUCGGAUUGUAAACUUCUAUCAAUAGGGAAGAAAGAAAUGACGGUACCUAAAUAAGAAGCCCCGGCUAACUACGUGCCAGCAGCCGCGGUAAUACGUAGGGGGCAAGCGUUAUCCGGAAUUACUGGGUGUAAAGGGAGAGUAGGCGGCAAGGUAAGCGAUAUGUGAAAGCCUUAAGCUUAACUUAAGGAUGGCAUAACGAACUAUCUAGCUAGAGUACAGGAGAGGAAAGCGGAAUUCCUAGUGUAGCGGCGAAAUGCGUAGAUAUUAGGAAGAACACCAGUGGCGAAGGCGGCUUUCUGGACUGAAACUGACGCUGAGGCUCGAAAGCGUGGGGAGCGAACAGGAUUAGAUACCCUGGUAGU